rnacentral:rRNA from 1 species
AGGAAGAAGGCUUUCGGGUCGUAAACUUUUGUCUUUCGGGAAGAAAAAAAUGACGGUACCGAAGGAGGAAGCCACGGCUAACUACGCGCCAGCAGCCGCGGUAAUACGUAGGUGGCGAGCGUUGUCCGGAAUUACUGGGUGUAAAGGGUGCGUAGGCGGGGAUGCAAGUCAGAUGUGAAAGAUCGGGGCUCAACUCCGGGGCUGCAUUUGAAACUGCAACUCUUGAGUGCAGGAGAGGAAAGCGGAAUUCCUAGUGUAGCGGUGAAAUGCGUAGAGAUUAGGAGGAACACCAGUGGCGAAGGCGGCUUUCUGGACUGUAACUGACGCUGAGGCACGAAAGCGUGGGGAGCGAACAGGAUUAGAUACCCUGGUAGUCCACGCUGUAAACGAUGGAUACUAGGUGUAGGGGGUAUCGACCCCCUCUUGGGCCGGAGUUAACACAAUAACUUU